rnacentral:rRNA from 1 species
UACGGAGGGUGCGAGCGUUGUCCGGAAUCACUGGGCGUAAAGGGCGCGUAGGCGGCGCGAGGAGUCGGUUGUGAAAGCCCGGGGCUUAACCCCGGGUCUGCAGUCGAUACGGGCAGGCUAGAGUUCGGUAGGGGAGAUCGGAAUUCCUGGUGUAGCGGUGAAAUGCGCAGAUAUCAGGAGGAACACCGGUGGCGAAGGCGGAUCUCUGGGCCGAUACUGACGCUGAGGAGCGAAAGCGUGGGGAGCGAACAGG